rnacentral:rRNA from 1 species
UACGUAUGGUGCAAGCGUCAUCCGGAUUUACUGGGUGUAAAGGGAGCGUAGGCGGCGCGUUAAGUCUGAUGUGAAAACCCGAGGCUCAACCACGGGAGUGCAUUGGAAACUGGCGGGCUGGAGUGCCGGAGAGGUAAGCGGAAUUCCUAGUGUAGCGGUGAAAUGCGUAGAUAUUAGGAGGAACACCAGUGGCGAAGGCGGCUUACUGGACGGCAACUGACGCUGAGGCUCGAAAGCGUGGGGAGCAAACAGG